rnacentral:misc_RNA from 1 species
AACGGUCUAUACCUGCGGUACCUGCGGAAGGAUCAUUACCGAGUUUACAACUCCCAAACCCAUGUGAACAUACCUGUCUUGUUGCUUCGGCGGCGCCCACGGCCCUCACGGGCUUGGGGCCCGCCAGAGGACCCAAACAAAACUCUUUGCAUUUUGAAUACAGUAUUCUGAGUGACAUGAUUAAAUAAAAUCAAAACUUUCAGCAACGGAUCUCU